rnacentral:misc_RNA from 1 species
GUAGGUGAACCUGCGGAAGGAUCAUUAAUAUUUGGGUAGAGUCCACUACUACAAUAGCGGACUUCGCCCAAAUAUUCUUUAUUUUUAAAGGAGCAAGAUACCCUUAUAUUUAAAACCCACUCUUGAACGUAUAAAAUUUAUGUAUUAAUGAUAAAUUAAAAGAUCACUUUCAACAACGGAUCUCUUGGCUCUCGCAUCGAUGAAG